AUCCCCCAGAGGAAGCAGUGACAGAGAGAUGGAGGUGGGGAAGGAGGGAGGGAACAAGAGUACACCCAGGAAGGAAACAACAGUCUUUUAUUAUCUAAUCUCAUGAGCACACCAUCACUUCUGUUACACACUGCUGGUUACACAGAACAAACCCGAUCCAACGAGGACAAAGUCGACACGAGUACAACUCUUAGAAGGUGAUGAUCGAAGUCCCCCUCUGGGCCUAAACAUGUUCAGAAGACAGAAAAAAAAUAGACUUCCAAGAAGAAACAUACUUAUUCUUGGUAUUAGGAUUGGAGAAAAAUUUCUGGGUCCUUAUGAACAGAAGACAACUGCUAAUGAAGUGUGCCGCAUCCUCAACAUCACUCUGGUGGUAAAGAAAGACAUGAUUUGUGUAACUCUAUUUCUUUGGAAGUUAUUUGCAUGAGAAAAACGUGUCAUGGAGAUGGGGAUAGCAAUUUCAGUGAAGAAGUCAUCAUGAGCUACAAUGAAAAUGAUACAGAGUAAUUAAGAUAAGUGAAAAAGAAAUGACGUCCAUGUUUUAUCCCUCUGGAAAAAUUAUCUCAACUCUGAAAGGAUUGUUUCUACUGAGCCUGAACUUCAAAACGGGUUCUGUAUAAACGUUAAUAAAUACAGUUCUAUGAGUUCUUGGAUUUUAGCCUUGAGGUUAUUACAGUCUCAGAAAAAGGCUGAAGAAAGGUCAUUUAGAACAACCACAUGUUAUAUUUUACUCUAAAAAGGUGAUAAAGAAUAUAACUGAAAAGCUACCAAUGAAAUGAAGAUUAUGAGAAAGUAGAAAUUACCUUGAACCUACUCUCAUAUAUUCUUGGUGUUUGGAACUGUUAUAAAAAUGUAAGGAAGCAUCAUAAAUCUGGAAGAAGGUUCAACUUAAAGACAGAAGCCUGAAUGUGCCAGUAAGUGAGGUUCACCUCUUAGGAUUGUCAGAUAAACAAUAAGAUUUUUAUUUUAAUUUUUUUCAAUAUUAGCAUACCCCAAAUACUUCGUGGGACAUACUUAUACUUACAAAAUAUUGUUCUGUAUCUGAAAUUAAAAUAUAACUGGGUGUCCUCUAUUUACCUGGUAAAUAGGGCAACCCUAUCCUCUCUCUUUUGAGACUCACUUAAAAUUUCAGAAAAAUAGGAAAACAACAAGUAAAUCCACAAUCGCAGAGUGUGUGUUGGGGGAUUGGUGAAGGCAUCAGCAGAGGGAGAAAGUUAAACAAAGUGGUCUGAAAGAAAGCAGGUGGAGUAAUGUUGGCAAAGCAAAAUGUAGAAAGUUGACUGCCCAGAAUUCCUGAGAUGGGAUUGCAAUGGAAGCAGCUGGCCUGCCCAGCAGCAGCCUGGAAAAGUCUGGUCGUAGGGAGGAUGAACGGAAUUGGAAGAAAAGCCGUACCCCGAAGAGUUGUUCUCCUACGUGUCCCAGCAUCACAUGCAGAACUGCAGACAGCUAAGCUUUUACACCUCCUGCCAAUAUAAUAAAAAUAACCAUAGUAACAUACAGCUUUUCCCAAAGCAAUGAAAAGAAGCAUUUGGCAGAAAUAGAAAGAUAUGAUAGACUUCUUGCCCUCCACUUGGGACUGGUUUCUCAACAUCUCACCCUAAAGCAAAGCCUUCCCAGCAUGUAUGAAGAGCUCAAAAAUAUUUGACAAUAAUAACAACAAAGAUACUUAAUACUAGGGCAGUAAGUCACACCAACCACAAACAAUGCUACAUGAAUUUUGCUAGGUAGCAGCUCAACAAAAGGAAAUGGAGAUUGUUCAGACUUGCUUCUCCAGGACAGAAAAUCAAGCAGGGAUUCGAGAUAGAGGCUAAAUUGAAGAAUGUGUAUGCCUCUGGCUGGAAUAACUUCAGUGAUUUAUCUCUUGAAAAAUUAAAGUUUUGGACAAUGAGUCUGAGAAGUGGGAGGAGCCCUAUAUAUAUUGUAACUGUCUUUCUUUUUUUUUUUUUUUUCUUUUUGAGAUGGAGUCUCACUCUA